AACAAUCAAGUACCGUCACUUGGUCGACGGCUCAAUAUUAUCACACUUUGUUAAUUGUUAGUAUUAGUUGUGCGACCAGGAGACGGUAAGAGUGUU
rnacentral:pre_miRNA from 1 species